UGCACAUAAACUAAAUAUAGGUGGGCUUCCGUGAAGCUGAUAUCAGCUUAUCAACCCCAAAAAAAUAAAAAAAGUAGAAAAAACAGAAAAGAAAAAAAAUUGCCAGAAGCCUCAAAAAAUCACAUAUUUACCACUGCUUUCCUGAAAGGAACAGUGUAAGUGUUACAUAGCACAUCACACAGAGUUGCCUAAAAUUCCUCUUGACAUCUCUCCCUCUUCCCGAUACAUGGCCAUUAUUAAGCUUUCUUCACAGUCCCCGUGUGUUUAUAAUCACAGACCUUACCAGUCCCUUAGGAUAAGGGUUUUGUACUCCAGGACAACCACUUUUUUUGAGAGACCAGCCCACCAAGGUUUAUUAAUCAUCUAUCCCAGUUGCUCCCUGCUUUGGUCUUGUCUUCGAGACCACCUCACUGAGAUGCUCUGGGCCCUGCUGCGUCUCAACAGCCUUAACACUUACAUCCUUGCAAGUCAUGAGCCAGACUGGAAGCUCCUAAACCUGAGCUACUGUGUGAUAUCUGAGCCGUUACAGUUAUCAGGAGAGUCUAAUUGCGUAUGUUUUUUUAAGGCUCGAUUUCACCUUUUUCAAGAGCACUCCUUCCAUGAACCCUUGACCCAAUUCUACCAUCUACCAAAUCCUUCCUUCCAAGAUGGACCUUCACUUCUCCGGACACCAACCACAUUAAACAGAAUUGCCAACGUCAAACUCCGGUAGCUCUAAAAUCACUCGGGGCCGUUGUUUGAGGCCAUUUAGCUGAACGCACCUUUGCACCUUGAAUGGAGCCACUCGUGCUAUCGCGUCUCCCGCCCGCCCACAACUCUCUACCGACAGUCUACGACUUAGCCGGAGUUCACUACCAUCAGCUAACGGGAGAAAAAAUACAAGUUUCAUUCACGGAGGGAUGAGUUUCUGUACGCCGAACAUGGACUGCUGCCGUGUUCGAGUGGACGAGAAAGACGGCAGCGAGGGAAGAUCCACCCAGUGAGCUGAGCUUCAAGCAAUGACGCUGGUCAGCACUCUGGUGGCGACGUGAUGUCAAAUUCAAUGCUCACCGUAGACUUUGUGUCAACAGCUUCCCAGUAAUUCAGCUCGUCUGAGCACAUUCUCUGGUCCAUUUCCCAGGAAGCGCUCAAGGAAAACAUGUUUCCUGAACUCCUGCAAGCUGACGCCUGAGAAGUAAUUUUUAUGCUUCAAAAUCACUUUUGUUAGAAAUAAAAUAUUUUGUUCACAUUUUCCCCAAGUAUCUUAAAUGUAUUAUUUUUACCUGGCACAGUGCUGUUUCUAAGUCACUUGCUGUUUUUAUCUAGAUACCCAAACCUGAAGUCUUUAUAUGAGAGAACAUUCUCAGGUA